GAUGAACGCUGGCGGCGUGCCUAAUACAUGCAAGUCGAGCGAACAGACGAGGAGCUUGCUCCUCUGACGUUAGCGGCGGACGGGUGAGUAACACGUGGAUAACCUACCUAUAAGACUGGGAUAACUUCGGGAAACCGGAGCUAAUACCGGAUAAUAUAUUGAACCGCAUGGUUCAAUAGUGAAAGACGGUUUUGCUGUCACUUAUAGCUGGAUCCGCGCCGCAUUAACUAGUUGGUAAGGUAACGGCUUACCAAGGCGACGAUGCGUAGCCGACCUGAGAGGGUGAUCGGCCACACUGGAACUGAGACACGGUCCAGACUCCUACGGGAGGCAGCAGUAGGGAAUCUUCCGCAAUGGGCGAAAGCCUGACGGAGCAACGCCGCGUGAGUGAUGAAGGUCUUCGGAUCGUAAAACUCUGUUAUUAGGGAAGAACAAAUGUGUAAGUAACUAUGCACGUCUUGACGGUACCUAAUCAGAAAGCCACGGCUAACUACGUG
rnacentral:rRNA from 1 species